rnacentral:rRNA from 1 species
GAUGAACGCUGGCGGCGUGCCUAAUACAUGCAAGUCGAACGAGGUGCUUUUGUAGCAAUACGAGAGUAUCCUAGUGGCGAACGGGUGAGUAACGCGUUGGUGACCUACCCCAAAGUGUGGGAUAACAGUCCGAAAGGAUUGCUAAUACCGCAUGUGGUCUUCGGAUUUAGAAACUGAUGACUAAAGGAGCAAUUCGCUUUGGGAGGGACCUGCGUCCCAUCAGCUAGUUGGUGAGGUAAUGGCUCACCAAGGCUACGACGGGUAGGGGACCUGAGAGGGUGACCCCCCACAAUGGAACUGAAACACGGUCCAUACACCUACGGGUGGCAGCAGUAGGGAAUAUUGCACAAUGGGCGAAAGCCUGAUGCAGCAACGCCGCGUGUACGAUGAAGGCCUUCGGUCGUAAACUGCUUUGUACGGAACGAAACGGUACUGCCCUAAUACGGCAGGCUAAUGACGGUACCGUAAGAAUAAGCACCGG